AACGCAUAUUGCGCUCUUUGGUAUUCCGAAGAGCAUGCUUGUUUGAGUAUCAGUAAACACCUCAAAACUCUUGAUUUUUUCAAGAGCUUUGGACUUGAGCAAACCCAACACCUUCUCUCACGAUUUGGCGGCGGGUUGCUUGAAAUGCAGGUGCAGCUGGACAUUCUCCUGAGCUAAAAGCAUAUUUAUUUAGUCCCGUCAAACGGAUUAUUACUUUUGCUGCAGCUAACAUAAAGGGAGUUUUGACCGUAUUGGCUGACUGAUGCAGGAUUUCACAGAGUCGGAAACGAUUCUGUCAAACUCGAUCUCAAAUCAAGUAAGAUUACCCGCUGAACUUAA
rnacentral:misc_RNA from 1 species